rnacentral:lncRNA from 1 species
AUAAAUUUUAGGCACAUGCACCAGAAAACCUUACAUUUUUGAAUGACUUUAAUUACUUAAGUUGGCUUAAAUUCAUCACCAGCAAUGGGUUGGCAGUGUAUAGGGCUUGACCUGAAUGCUUGGAUCUCAUCAAUCUGACCAAAAGCGAAACAAGUCUCUGACAGAUGACAGCAUAAAGUCAUCUCGUCCGAGCGUUCCACGACUAUCACAUUCAGGAUCAUCAGAUUCAACGCAUACCAAAAGCACACGACUGAGUAACCAUGCGCUUCAAAACGCUUUCGCUGCUGGCUCUGCUGUCUCUGCUACUGGGGCUCUGUU